rnacentral:rRNA from 1 species
UACGUAGGGCGCAAGCGUUAUCCGGAAUUAUUGGGCGUAAAGAGCUCGUAGGCGGUGUGUCGCGUCGGCCGUGAAAACCUGCAGCUUAACUGUGGGCUUGCGGUCGAUACGGGCAUCACUGGAGUUCGGCAGGGGAGACUGGAAUUCCUGGUGUAGCGGUGAAAUGCACAGAUAUCAGGAGGAACACCGGUGGCGAAGGCGGGUCUCUGGGCCGAUACUGACGCUGAGGAGCGAAAGCGUGGGGAGCGAACAGG